rnacentral:rRNA from 1 species
AACAGAAUCUAGUUAGAUUUUAAGUUUAACUAAAUAAGAAGUUUUAUGUAUAAUUGAAUUAAAGUUUUAUAAUAAAUUAUACUUUUAAUUAUUCAAAAAUGAAUUUUCUUUAAGAAUUGAAACAUCUUAGUAUAAAAUAAAGAUAAAUUUAAUAGUAACGGCGAGUGAAAUUAAAUCUAAGGUUAUUAAAAUAAAAAGACUCGGAUAAACUUACUUAUAGGAUAAGUACUGUGAAGGAAAGUUACAUAUAAAUUUAAAUAACCUUGUUUUACAAUUACCUUUUGUAUAAUGGAUUUACAAGAAUAAAAAUAGGCAAGAUUAAAAUCCUUAUUAAUAUAAAAGUCUAUUUAACCCGAACCUGUGUGAUCUAAUUGUGAAUAACUUAUUGAGUUAAUCGGUAAAUGUUGAAUAAUUUUCGAAAGAUUUGCAAUUAGCGGCGAAAAACUAAACGAACACAGAUAUAGCUGGUUUCUUUCGAAAUUUAUAUAAGUAAAAACCUUUAUAUAAGGAAUCAGAUUAAAAGUUAAAACAUUUUUAAUCAAGAGAAAAAAAAUUCUAAUUGAAAAUAAUUAUUCUUAAUUUACAAAAUUUAAAUUAAUAUAUUAUUUAAAUAAAAGGAAUAUAGCUUAGAAACAGCCUUAAUUUAAUAAUAACGUAAAAGUUUACUUUAAUAAAGAUAUAUUUUAAAAAUAAAGUAUUUGUUUAAUAAAAUUUUCAAAUGAAAAUAGUAGAAAGAUUUUCUAAUAUUAUCCUUUUUAUUAGUAUAGAAGAAAUAAUGUAAAUAUGAAUAAAAUUUAUUUAUUUCUAAUGUUUUCUUAUUUAAAUUUAUGAAUAAGGUUAUACAACUCUUCAUUAAAAUAGAGAGAAUUUAUUACUUUACAAGAAAAUAAUAAAAAUCUUAUUGUACAAAACUAAAUCAAGAAGAUAUAAAUAAAAAAUGUUAUUUUCUCCAAGGAACUCGGCAAAAUAAAGUAUCGACUGUUUACCAAAAACAUAGCUUUUACAUAAACUUAAAGUGAUACCUGCCCAGUGAUUUUAAAUUAAAAGCAAUAAUUUUGUUUUAAAAUAAUAUUAAACGGACGCAGUAACCUGACUGUGGUAAUGUAGCAUAAUCAAUCGCCAUUUAAUUGAUGGAUAGUAUGAAUGGUUUAACGAGUACUUCACUGUCUUGGAGAGAAAUUUUAUGAAAUUGAUAUAGUAGUUAAGAUCCUACUUAAAAUUGUAAGACGAAAAGACCCUAUAGAGCUUAACUAAAUUCUUUUUAUGAAAAAGUUCAAUAAAAUAAUUUAACUUAACGAAAAAAGAAAGUUAGUUUGGUUGGGGCGACCACCUUUUAUAAUAAACAAAGGUAAACAAUGUUAAUAAUAAAACUUAUUGUCUAAUAAAUUAAUUUAACAAUUACGAAAGUAGGUUAUAGUGACCCGUUAAAAGUGAUAAAUAAUUUUAACGAUUAAUAAAUAAAAGCUACCUUAGGAUAACAGGAUAAUUUAAGCUUAGAGAUCUUAUCGAAGCUCAAGUUUGUCACCUCUAUGUUGAAUUAAGAUAUCCAAAUAAUGCAGAAGUUAUUAAGGGUAGGUCUGUUCGACCUUUAAA